rnacentral:rRNA from 1 species
GUAGGGAAUAUUGGUCAAUGGACGAAAGUCUGAACCAGCCAUUCCGCGUGCAGGAAGAAGAUUCUAUGGAUUGUAAACUGCUUUUAGCAGAGAAGAAACGCCUUCAUUGAUGAGGGUUUGACGGUAUCUGCGGAAUAAGCACCGGCUAACUCCGUGCCAGCAGCCGCGGUAAUACGGUGGGUGCAAGCGUUAUCCGGAAUCACUGGGUUUAAAGGGUGCGUAGGCGGGAAAGUAAGUCAGUGGUGAAAGUCUGUUGCUUAACGAUAGAAUUGCCGUUGAUACUGAUUUUCUUGAAUUGGGUUGAGGUUAGCGGAAUGUGACAUGUAGCGGUGAAAUGCAUAGAUAUGUCAUGGAACACCAAGUGCGAAGGCAGCUAGCUGGGCCUUGAUUGACGCUGAGGCACGAAAGCGUGGGUAGCGAACAGGAUUAGAUACCCCAGUAGUCC